rnacentral:rRNA from 1 species
CCUACGGGAGGCAGCAGUGGGGAAUAUUGGCCAAUGGGCGCAAGCCUGAUCCAGCCAUGCCGCGUGAGUGAUGAAGGCCUUAGGGUUGUAAAGCUCUUUCACUGGGGAAGAUAAUGACGGUACCCAGAGAAGAAGCCCCGGCUAGCUUCGUGCCAGCAGCCGCGGUAAU